rnacentral:tRNA from 1 species
ACGGGCUUAGUGUAGACUCAACCCAGCACGUCGAUCUUCAAAAUCGAAGCGUUGCGCCUGUU